rnacentral:rRNA from 1 species
CCUACGGGAGGCAGCAGUGGGGAAUAUUGCACAAUGGGGGAAACCCUGAUGCAGCGACGCCGCGUGAGUGAAGCAGUAUUUCGGUAUGUAAAGCUCUAUCAGCAGGGAAGAAAAUGACGGUACCUGAUUAAGAAGCCCCGGCUAACUACGUGCCAGCAGCCGCGGGAAUACGUAGGGGGCAAGCGUUAUCCGGAUUUACUGGGGUUAAAGGGAGCGUAGACGGCAGCACAAGUCUGGAGUGAAAUGCCGGGGCUUAACCCCGGAACUACUUUGGAAACUGUGCAGCUAGAGUGCAGGAGAGGUAAGUGGAAUUCCUAGUGUAGCGGUGAAAUGCGUAGAUAUUAGGAGGAACACCAGUGGCGAAGGCGGCUUACUGGACUGUAACUGACGUUGAGGCUCGAAAGCGUGGGGAGCAAACAGGAUUAGAUACCGAGUAGUC